GUGACUCCUGUGAUUAAAGGCAGUUCUGGAGCCUGGGUCUCCGGGGGUCUUGGGCUGGGCUACCCUCUCCUGGUCCUGAUGCCCAAGCUUAUGUGCAGGGAGACCUCAUCUCAGCCUCCCUAGUUUUCCAGCUUGGAGACAGAGAAGCUGGGGAGGGGAGACCAUUUCCUGUCAACAGCAUGAAGACAUUAGUACAAGUUAACACCCUCCCUCUCGAGGGAGAUGCCAGCCAGCGAUGGGUGCAGGCCAAGGCCCCCAGUCUCACCAAGGCCUGCUCUGGCUUCUCUUCUGGUUUUAAUUUCCCCUCCUUGGAGAUAUAGGCCAUAUUGGAUUUCUCCUUCUUAGAUAUUUAGCAGAGCUGAAAUAAAUGAAUUCCAUAACAGACGCCGAUAUUCCUGCCUGAUUGUUGGGAUUAAUUGAUGUUUUGGUGGGCAUUGCAUUGCUUGGAAAUUAAAAUAUUUAACAUGGCUCAACAUUAAAUCAAUUUAAAACUACAUUUUCCAGAUACCUUCCACUUCCUUGGGAGUCAGCUGAAUGAAUGGCUGUUAAACUUUCAAAAAUAUACCUUUCUUGGUGGAGGUGGUGGCUCUUCCAGGUUUUAAGUGCCUCUGGGCUUUGGGGAUGGGUUGAAAUUAAAGAAAAUACACUGUGUAAGUCAGUCACUCCUGCGAUUAUGGUGCAGCAGAGCAAAUGCACCCAGUGGCUCAGUCCUUUUGGAGGCUGGGAUGGAGUUACCUCUGGAAAUUUGCAAGAUGCUCGUGACUUUUGGCUCAGGAAAGCAGAGGUCCAGUCUGCAUCAGGCGCUGCUCUGAGGUCUUCACCUGUGUCAUUAGCUCACAUCAUCAUCAUCAUGACCCCGCCAGGUGGAUGCUGUUGGUUCCCAUUUUCCAGAUGAGGCGACUGAACCUGAGAAAGAUGAAGGAACUCUUGUCUGAGUCCUCUCAGAUAGCGAGGAUUUGGAUUCUGACUUUUUGUCUUGCCCUCUGCUGCCUCCUGGAUGGAUAUUCUUGAACUUCUCUAAUGAGUUAGAUCAGAGAGAGGUUCUGUAGAUCCCUUCCCCUCCUCCUCUGGCAGGAGGCCAGCCUGCCUCACAGCACAUAUAAUUGGUGAUUGCCUCAGGCAGGAAGACAAAUCCAGCUUAUGCCCUGCAGGACCCCCGGGGUCUCAGGUUGAAGCGUGCAGCCUUCUGCACGCAGAAAAGCAGCAGUCACACCGCAGGUACAGCUCCCGCUCACCUUUUCAAUGUCAGCGGUGCUGUUGGGUUCCCAGCCUCCACCUUCUGCAGCUCCCCCCAGCUGUUUGCAGAGAUCACACUCCCUGGAGUGUGGGUCACGGUGUGCUGGUUAUGGCUCUGAUCGGUCUGGGCCUGUGCCAUACGGUUAUUCAAAUUUUUGAACAUUGCUCGGCUAGAUCCUUUUACAGACCCCCUACCAUCAAGCUUGAUGGGGGCUGGGAGUCUUCCUGCACCUUCAGUCUGUCAUCCAGUGGGACUUAGAUUUAAGCUAUUCCCUCUAGUCCUGGUACCCAGGGGUUCAGCCACAGCGGCUGGGAUGGGCUCCACUGCCAAUGAAAGGUAGCUGUGAGUUGGUGUGUGUGUGUGAACAUGUGUGAGUGUGUGUUUACCUGGCUUUACUGAAGAAAUGCUAUCAUGGAAGAGGCAGUAAAUAACUUAAUAUUAAAUAUUAGGUAUUUUCUUUGUCCUUAAAAGUUCUUUGUCCAUCCUUGCCUCCUUUAAACACAUCCAUAUUGCCUCCCUAUAAAGCAUAUAUGUAAUAAACAGGGAGGUCUGGCAGAACUCCAGCCCACACGGUGUCUAAGUGGCACGUCUUCAAAGUGCAAAUCUUGAAACCUUCUUAAAGUGAGUGUCCUUGCUACAAAUCCAUCCAGGACGUCCAGCGAUUCCUGGGAUUCUUAACCACUGCAGGAGGGUCGUUGUCCACUUCUCUGCCUUUCCUGCCCCAGGAACUGAUUACUUCAGAAAGGGACAUAGCUUGUCUGAUCCUUGAAAUGUUGGCAACUCACCGGUGGGUGAAGACCGUAUUUGCUUUCACCUUCAUCCUGACCUUUUACGAGCCUAACAAAAUGCCUGCUGAUGAAAUGUGGGGGAAGGGGCUGUCCUUUCCCAGGAGAACUCUGGCCCUGAGAAGUUCCAUCUAGUCUCCGAGACCCUCUGGAACACCCCUGUGUUGGGGGCAACUAGACAGUGGUUCCCAACUCUUCUGCUCACUCCCUUUAUUAGGAUGGAACAGCCAAGCUCUUGCCAUGUGGCUUCAUUGUGCAUCUCAGUGGGUAGAGUCUGCUUCCCCACCUGUUAACUUUGGCUUUGGCCGCUGAGCAGACAGGACACCAUCCCUCCAGCAGAAGUCUUACACGUGCUCGUGUGAUUUGACCUCUUGGUAAUUGCUUCCACGUGUGAGGAGACCUGUGGGUGAGGAGACGUGGAGCAGACCUGAGCCCAGUGCACAGCUCGGAGCUGAGAUGAGAUCAGCAGGGCCCAGCUGAGCUCAGCCAAGCCCAGGAGAGCCCCAGCCAACCUGAAUACUCAUACGUGAGAAGUAUGUAUUUGUUAAGGGAAGCCACUGAGGUUUAGGGUUAUUUGUUGCUGUAGCCAAAGCUGACUUGUACUCCAUGACUUCCACUGCCUCCCUGGCACGGGCUGGUCACAUGCUGGGGACAGGAAGGUGGUGCACUCUGUCCCUUUCAUCACAUUCCCAUCAUUUGCCCUGUAGAUUGUGCCCAUUAGGGAAGCUCCUUGUCUAAUGCUGUGCUUCUUGAUACAACACCAUGGCCCCUAACUGCCGCUUACUUCCUGUUUCCAAGACCAGGGGCUGUAGAAAUCAGGUAACUGCUCCUCUGGGGUCAGAGCUUCUGCCCGUAACAUGGUGGUUCCGUCUGCUCUGCCAUGGCAGCCUUCAUAUCUAAUGGCUCAUCAACUAUUUCACCUGGAGCACUCACCCAUCCAACGUCAUUGCCUCCAUCUCUGCAGCUUAGCUCUACCCCCUGGUACCAUCAAGGCUCUUUAGCUGGAGUUUCCCAGAGGGAUUUUCAGGUCAGGUAACAGCCUGUGGAAUAGGUACACUGGCCCAUCCUCAGGGGAGAGCAUCCCAGCUGGAGAAGGUGGCUCUCCUCCAGGUGUGUGUCAUCCCCACUCACACUGGAAGCUGGAAGCCCCACUGAAGUGGCUGAGGUCCACAAGCCUGACCUUGAGCUACUCUCCUUUGGGGGUCUGCUGCGUCCGUCGUCUUCUGUUCCUUGCCAUGUCAGGCCCACUGAGACCCCACUCUCUGCCAUGAUAUCUUGGGUCAGGGAUCCUGAGACUGAUGGGCAGACUGGUGGUUUUCCACUAGUGUCCAGUCAGCUUCAGGACCUCUCACACCAGGAAGGAUUUGGAAUGGGAGGAAUGGAUAUGACCGGCACGUAGCCCCCCUGGAAUGUAAGUUCCCAUGGGCAGAAACCCUGACCGUCUUGUUCAAUGACAUGUUCUUCCUGCUCAGCAGUCCCCAGUGGGCUGGGUCAUGGUUGGUGUUCACUGCAUGUUUGUUGAAUAUGUAAAUGAAACUACUUUCCCCCCUCUCAUCAGACUGAACUCAGUAGGACCUCUGGUAAGGCAAGUGUUG
ensembl:lncRNA